rnacentral:sRNA from 1 species
UGGCGCGCUGGUGCGGAAAGCGGCGGACUAUGUCCGAAGCAAGGAUUUCCGGGACUACCUCAUGAGUACGAAUAACUCUUCAGGCUCUGUUAUAGCCCUGGGUUCAUGCAUGAUAAAGUAGACAGCAACACCACCAUACAGUGCAGAGGAGUGGCAAGAGAGUAAAUGGAAAAGGAGUUGAAAAUAGACCAAGUGGAGAAAGGCCUGGUCGAAAAAGGAGGAAAAGGGAGAUCACUAUGGAAUAAUAGAGAGUUGAAAAAUGAAGUGACACCCAAUAACAGGACGGGUAAGAAAAGAACACUUCUGGGGCCCAGUAGCCAACUGGGGUCUUCCCAUUGCUGCCAUCAAUGACAUGAAAAAGUCUCCAGAGAUUAUCAGUGGGCGGAUGACAUUCGCUCUCUGUUGCUAUUCUUUGACAUUCAUGAGAUUUGCCUACAAGGUACAGCCUCGGAACUGGCUUCUGUUUGCAUGUCACGCAACAAAUGAAGUAGCCCAGCUCAUCCAGGGAGGGCGGCUUAUCAAACACGAGAUGACUAAAAAGGCAUCUGCAUAACAAUGGAAAAUGAAGAACAAGGUCUUGAAGGGACAGCAUUGCCAGCUGCUGCUGAGUCACAGAUUUCAUUACAAAUAGCCUCACUAAGGAAAAUACA